CAUGUGGCUUAGUGGUAGAGCAUCACCUUGGUAAGGUGAAGGUCGACGGUUCGAUUCCGUUCAUG
rnacentral:tRNA from 1 species